UAGCUCAGCUGGUUAGAGCGCUUCAUUGACAUUGAAGAGGUCACUGGUUCGAGUCCAG
rnacentral:tRNA from 1 species